rnacentral:rRNA from 1 species
GGUCCAGACUCCUACGGGAGGCAGCAGUAGGGAAUCUUCCGCAAUGGGCGAAAGCCUGACGGAGCAACGCCGCGUGAGUGAUGAAGGUCUUCGGAUCGUAAAACUCUGUUAUUAGGGAAGAACAUACAUGUAAGUAACUAUGCACGUCUUGACGGUACCUAAUCAGAAAGCCACGGCUAACUACGUGCCAGCAGCCGCGGUAAUACGUAGGUGGCAAGCGUUAUCCGGAAUUAUUGGGCGUAAAGCGCGCGUAGGCGGUUUUUUAAGUCUGAUGUGAAAGCCCACGGCUCAACCGUGGAGGGUCAUUGGAAACUGGAAAACUUGAGUGCAGAAGAGGAAAGUGGAAUUCCAUGUGUAGCGGUGAAAUGCGCAGAGAUAUGGAGGAACACCAGUGGCGAAGGCGACUUUCUGGUCUGUAACUGACGCUGAUGUGCGAAAGCGUGGGGAUCAAACAGGAUUAGAUACCCUGGUAGUCCACGCCGUAAACGAUGAGUGCUAAGUGUUAGGGGGUUUCCGCCCCUUAGUGCUGCAGCUAACGCAUUAAGCACUCCGCCUGGGGAGUACGACCGCAAGGUUGAAACUCAAAGGAA